UUUCUUUUCUUGUUUUCUACUUCUUCUCUUUUUACCUUCAUUUCCUUUCCUUUAAAGCCUGGAGAGUGGUGGAUGAAGGAGGAGGCCUCUAGCGGCAGAGGCAGCAACACCAAGAUGUGUCGGACAGGUCUCCACCAGAGCCGCGGGUCUACUGGCAAGUUGGAGCAGGUCCUGGGCUGAUUCCCUUGGCCCAGACCCGCAGGCUGGGCCAAGGCUCCGGGUCCGCAGCUAGGCCUGGCCACCUGAAGGAGCGGAAGCAUCAGUGAAAGGGAUGGAUGGUGGAGGAGGCAGGGUCUGGAGGAGCAUCGAAUGAAGGACAAGAGGCUUCUCCAGGCCCAGCAGCCAUGGGUUGCAGACUCAGCUCAGCGUGGCAGUCUCGGCCUGACAUGGCAGUCUUGUCCCAACAUGGCAGUCUGAUCCUGGAGAUACCGGUUCCAAUCUUCAAAUUCUCCUGAGAUACGAGGAGGGUUCAGAGGGCCAGAAGCUCCCUAGGUCCACUUGCCAAAGAUUUAAGGUCAUUUGCUAACCAAUCAACAGUCUACAGGGUAUAAGUUAUUCCCUCUAUAUCAGAAUUCUUGUGAAGUGUUCCGAUGAGUGUAAGCUUUAACACAAUGUGUCUGUUUUUCAAACACUACAUCCUUAUUCGUAAAAUGGUGUCAUGUUAAACUCAACAACCACUGAUAAAAUCACUUUGAUCUCGAUGAUGAGAAAAUCUUUUGAAAGGGCAAUCAGGGACAAAAUGUGCUGUCACAGUGACAGUGUGGAUUCAUUAAGAAAAGCCAGCAUCAAUCUGCUAAAAGCAGAUUGGAUUUAAAUACCUUGUUUGAGUUUUUAAUGAGCUAAUGAGGGUAAUGUAGUUGACGGGGCGUAUCUGAUUCUCCAGCAGAUGUUUUUUAAAACAGUUGUCAGCAACAUUGAAGAACAUGGGAUACGAAGGACUGUGGCAGCAUAGAUAUGAACGUUAAGUGAUAGGAAAAAGAAGGAUUACUGAACAUUAAUGGAGAGGGGGAGAGUGGAUCAAUUUGAUCUUAUCUAACCAACGGGCUCUUAUAACCAUUUGAACUAUCCAGUUGAAAUAAGCCAACACAGAACCGACUGGAGAUUCAGCCUUGGAUAAUCUUCAAACAUCACUGUCAUUUCCUAACUUACUGAGUGACUGAGGAGCCUGAAGCCACAUUCACAAGCUGUCAAGACUCUAGAAGGUCUGGUGUCCCCUCACUACAUCUCUCUACCUCUGUGUUUGAUUCUCAGGGCAAUAGUGGAUUACUAAAUGGAAAUGUAGCCACAUGGGCGUUAUGCACACAGAGGUGCCCAAAUGCACUUCAAAGCACCUGCUCCAGAGGCCAUCAAUGUGUCAAUUUUAGCUGCAGUUGGUAAACAGGAGCAAAGCUUUGUAAAGUACCUGGACUGAAAGCUCACUUAAAGGAAUUUGACAAAGCAACACUACCCAGAGAACCCAUGCGUAUUAGUAAUGGAUCAAGGAUUGCGUAUUAGUAAUGGAUCAAGGAUUGCGUAUUAGUAAUGGAUCAAGGAUUGCUGGUCACAGGCUUUGCCAAUUCCACCAGGAGUCAUUUCCUACUCCAAACUCUUGCAUGACUUUACUGGUGGCAUUUUACAUCUAAUGCACUUCCAAGCUGGAGAAAGGCUCACCUUCAAGAGGAAAAUGCACUUUGCGGUUUCAUGGUUGUUGCACUUUGAAUCAUUGCUAGCUUGUGAAGCAUAGCUACUUACUAACUCAAAUUAAAAACAGAAAAUGUUGGAAAUAUUCAAUGCUGUAUGUUGAAAAUUGGCACAGGCUUGAAGGGUCGA